rnacentral:rRNA from 1 species
UACGUAGGGUGCGAGCGUUGUCCGGAAUUAUUGGGCGUAAAGAGCUCGUAGGCGGUCUGUCGCGUCGGUCGUGAAAACUUGGGGCUUAACCCUGAGCUUGCGGUCGAUACGGGCAUGACUGGAGUUCGGUAGGGGAGACUGGAAUUCCUGGUGUAGCGGUGAAAUGCGCAGAUAUCAGGAGGAACACCGGUGGCGAAGGCGGUUCUCUGGGACGGUACUGACGCUGAGACGCGAAAGCGUGGGGAGCGAACAGG